rnacentral:lncRNA from 1 species
CUUUUUUGUUUCUUUUUUUUAUUUUUUAUUAUUAUUAUUUUUUUAGACAGGGUUUCACUCUUGUUGCCCAGGCUAGAGUACAAUGGCAUGAUCUUGGCUCACUGCAACCUCCGCCUCCCAAGAACAAACGAUUCUCCUGCCUCAGCCUCCCAAGUAGCUGGGAUUACAGGCGCCCACCACCACGCCCGGCUAAUUUUUGUAUUUUUAGUAGAGACGGGAUUUCACCAUAUUGGCCAGGCUGGUCUCGA